GUCUGCGUAACUCAGUGGUAGAGUGUGAGAUUGCAACGACGCAAACAAGCACAAAUAAGUGCAAGCAGGUCCAAACCACAAUCUUGAAGUCGCGUGUUCGAACCACGCCGCAGACU
rnacentral:tRNA from 1 species